UGGUGGGGUAAUGGCCUACCAAGGCGACGACGGGUAGCCGGCCUGAGAGGGCGACCGGCCACACUGGGACUGAGACACGGCCCAGACUCAUACGGGAGGCAGCAGUGGGGAAUAUUGCACAAUGGGCGAAAGCCUGAUGCAGCGACGCCGCGUGAGGGAUGACGGCCUUCGGGUUGUAAACCUCUUUCAGCAGGGAAGAAGCGCAAGUGACGGUACCUGCAGAAGAAGCACCGGCUAACUACGUGCCAGCAGCCGCGGUAAUACGUAGGGUGCGAGCGUUGUCCGGAAUUAUUGGGCGUAAAGAGCUCGUAGGCGGUCUGUCACGUCGGAUGUGAAAGCCCGGGGCUUAACCCCGGGUCUGCAUUCGAUACGGGCWRRCUAGAGUGUGGUAGGGGNAGAUYGGAANNUUCCUGGUGUAGCGRUGAAAUGCGCAGAUAUCAGGAGGAACACCGGUGGCGAAGGCGGAUCUCUGGGCCAUUACUGACGCUGAGGAGCGAAAGCGUGGGGAGCGAACAGGAUUAGAUACCCUGGUAGUCCACGCCGUAAACGUUGGGAACUAGGUGUUGGCGACAUUCCACGUCGUCGGUGCCGCAGCUAACGCAUUUAAGUUCCCCGCCUGGGGAGUACGGCCGCAAGCUAAAACUCAAAGGAAUUGACGGGGGGCCCGCACAAGCAGCGGACAUGUGGCUUAAUUCGACGCAACGCGAGAACUUUACCAAGGUUUGACAUAUACCGAAAGCAUCAGAGAUGGUGCCCCCCUUGGUGGUCGGUAUACAGGUGGUGCAUGGCUGUCGUCAGCUSWWWUUGCGACGUUGUGUUGUUUCGUGGGCGUCGAGUGUGCCUCUGUUCUGUGUUGCGAGCAUGCCCUUCGCACAGAUCAGGACUCGCACGAGACCGCCGGCUUCAACUCGCAGGAAGGUGGGGACGACGUCGAGUCCUCUUGCCCCCCUUGUCCCGGGCUGCACACGUGCUACAAUGGUCGGUACAAUGAGCUGCGAUACCGCAAGGUGGAGCGAAUCUCAAAAAGCCGGCCUCAGUUCGGAUUGGGGUCUGCAACUCGACCCCAUGAAGUCGGAGUUGCUAGUAAUCGCAGAUCAGCAUUGCUGCGGUGAAUACGUUCCCGGGCCUUGUACACACCGCCCGUCACGUCACGAAAGUCGGUAACACCCGAAGCCGAUGGCCCAACCCGCAAGGGAGGGAGUCGUCGAAGGUGGGACUGGCGAUUGGGACGAAGUCGUAACAAGGUAGCCGUACCGGAAGGUGCGG
rnacentral:rRNA from 1 species